UACGAAGGGGGCUAGCGUUGCUCGGAAUUACUGGGCGUAAAGGGCGCGUAGGCGGCUCUGUUAGUCAGGUGUGAAAUCCCCGGGCUUAACCUGGGAAUUGCGCUUGAAACUAGCGGGCUUGAGUGUGGCAGAGGGGGGUGGAAUUCCACGUGUAGCAGUGAAAUGCGUAGAGAUGUGGAGGAGCACCGAUGGCGAAGGCAGCCCCCUGGGUCAACACUGACGCUCAUGCACGAAAGCGUGGGGAGCAAACAGG
rnacentral:rRNA from 1 species